CCUACGGGGGGCUGCAGUGGGGAAUAUUGGACAAUGGGGGGAACCCUGAUCCAGCCAUGCCGCGUGUGUGAAGAAGGCCCUCGGGUUGUAAAGCACUUUCAGUGAGGAAGAACGCCUGGUGGUGAAUACCCAUCAGGAAAGACAUCACUCACAGAAGAAGCACCGGCUAACUCCGUGCCAGCAGCCGCGGUAAUACGGAGGGUGCGAGCGUUAAUCGGAAUUACUGGGCGUAAAGCGCGCGUAGGUGGCUUGAUAAGCCGGUUGUGAAAGCCCCGGGCUCAACCUGGGAACGGCCUCCGGAACUGUCACGCUAGAGUGCAGGAGAGGAAGGUAGAAUUCCCGGUGUAGCGGUGAAAUGCGUAGAGAUCGGGAGGAAUCCCAGUGGCGAAGGCGGCCUUCUGGACUGACACUGACACUGAGGUGCGAAAGCGUGGGUAGCAAACAGGAUUAGAUACCCCUGUAGUC
rnacentral:rRNA from 1 species